rnacentral:rRNA from 1 species
AGCUGCGGCAGCGACACUAUGUGUUGUUGGGUAGGGGAGCGUUCUGUAAGCCUGUGAAGGUGUGUCGUGAGGCAUGCUGGAGGUAUCAGAAGUGCGAAUGCUGACAUAAGUAACGAUAAAGCGGGUGAAAAGCCCGCUCGCCGGAAGACCAAGGGUUCCUGUCCAACGUUAAUCGGGGCAGGGUGAGUCGACCCCUAAGGCGAGGCCGAAAGGCGUAGUCGAUGGGAAACGGGUUAAUAUUCCCGUACUUGGUGUUACUGCGAAGGGGGGACGGAGAAGGCUAUGUUGGCCGGGCGACGGUUGUCCCGGUUUAAGCGUGUAGGUGUGUGUUCCAGGUAAAUCCGGUUCACUUUAACACUGAGGCGUGACGACGAGGCACUACGGUGCUGAAGCAACAAAUGCCCUGCUUCCAGGAAAAGCCUCUAAGCAUCAGGUAACAUCAAAUCGUACCCCAAACCGACACAGGUGGUCAGGUAGAGAAUACCAAGGCGCUUGAGAGAACUCGGGUGAAGGAACUAGGCAAAAUGGUGCCGUAACUUCGGGAGAAGGCACGCUGACACGUAGGUGAAGUGAUUUACUCAUGGAGCUGAAGUCAGUCGAAGAUACCAGCUGGCUGCAACUGUUUAUUAAAAACACAGCACUGUGCAAACACGAAAGUGGACGUAUACGGUGUGACGCCUGCCCGGUGCCGGAAGGUUAAUUGAUGGGGUCAGCGCAAGCGAAGCUCCUGAUCGAAGCCCCGGUAAACGGCGGCCGUAACUAUAACGGUCCUAAGGUAGCGAAAUUCCUUGUCGGGUAAGUUCCGACCUGCACGAAUGGCGUAAUGAUGGCCAGGCUGUCUCCACCCGAGACUCAGUGAAAUUGAACUCGCUGUGAAGAUGCAGUGUACCCGCGGCAAGACGGAAAGACCCCGUGAACCUUUACUAUAGCUUGACACUGAACAUUGAGCCUUGAUGUGUAGGAUAGGUGGGAGGCUUUGAAGUGUGGACGCCAGUCUGCAUGGAGCCGACCUUGAAAUACCACCCUUUAAUGUUUGAUGUUCUAACGUGGACCCGUGAUCCGGGUUGCGGACAGUGUCUGGUGGGUAGUUUGACUGGGGCGGUCUCCUCCUAAAGAGUAACGGAGGAGCACGAAGGUUGGCUAAUCCUGGUCGGACAUCAGGAGGUUAGUGCAAUGGCAUAAGCCAGCUUGACUGCGAGCGUGACGGCGCGAGCAGGUGCGAAAGCAGGUCAUAGUGAUCCGGUGGUUCUGAAUGGAAGGGCCAUCGCUCAACGGAUAAAAGGUACUCCGGGGAUAACAGGCUGAUACCGCCCAAGAGUUCAUAUCGACGGCGGUGUUUGGCACCUCGAUGUCGGCUCAUCACAUCCUGGGGCUGAAGUAGGUCCCAAGGGUAUGGCUGUUCGCCAUUUAAAGUGGUACGCGAGCUGGGUUUAGAACGUCGUGAGACAGUUCGGUCCCUAUCUGCCGUGGGCGCUGGAGAACUGAGGGGGGCUGCUCCUAGUACGAGAGGACCGGAGUGGACGCAUCACUGGUGUUCGGGUUGUCAUGCCAAUGGCACUGCCCGGUAGCUAAAUGCGGAAGAGAUAAGUGCUGAAAGCAUCUAAGCACGAAACUUGCCCCGAGAUGAGUUCUCCCUGAGACUUAAAGUCUCCUGAAGGAACGUUGAAGACGACGACGUUGAUAGGCCGGGUGUGUAAGCGCAGCGAUGCGUUGAGCUAACCGGUACUAAUGAACCGUGAGGCUUAACCUUACAAC